CAUCAGUAUUUGUCUCAACAACGACGCGGUGUCAUUCGGGUAGAAAAGUGCAUCAAUUGAAGAAUCCAUCGAGAGUAACCGUAACGCAGGAGGAGGAAAAUCGAAAUUUCGAGAAGAAAAAAUCGCGGAUCGACGCGAUCGGAUCGUUGUUAUCGUUGCACGACGAGGAGCCGACGAGCAACUCGGGUUGGUGAUUUGAAAUUUUAAAAAUUGAGAAAAAAACUUAUUCCGUUGCGAAGCGAAGGUACGGAGCCGUUUAGUAGGCUGGCAAAACUCGGAAUUUGGCCCAAAAAAUAUUAGGGGCAGAUAGCUCAGUCGGUAGUGGUGGCCGCUAGCAGUCUGGAGGUCACGAGUUCAAGUCCGGCCUCACCCCCUAGGUUUACCCAGCCUCUAUUGGGAAGUGGAGCAAUCCACGACUGGAUUAUCGGCCACAGUCCCCGGCUAGGACGUGGCUUAAAUUACAGCCCAGAGGGAUCACCACCAGGCAGUGUACCUGAAUCCCAGAUCCGCAGUGCAUAGCACUUGAAGAACGGAUCGUCCUUUAAUCCUUUAAUCCUUUUAGGAUCAGAAGUUGGCUAAACUUGGGCAAAGGUUGGGCAAAACUUUAUCAAGACUUUGGCAAAACUUGGAUUCAUUCGACAUCAAAGUUUGACCCAAGUUUCACCGGCCAAAAUUUUUUUUGUUUCGGUUCAAACUUGGGUAGAAGUUUGACAAGAGUUGGGUGAAACUUGUGUUAAACUAUGAUGUCGCCUAAAUCCAAGUUUUGCCUAAGUGUUGCCCAACUUUUGCCCAAGUUAAUAUGUUUUGGGCCAAACUUGGGCAAGAAGCUAAAGCCAAAUGCCAAGAAGGCACUGACACUCUCUGGGUGCAAAUUGUUCCAAAAACCAAAAAUUUCUAAAUUUUGCAGGCAAUACCUAUUUAGUGCGGUCAUCCGAAAAGUUUUCGCCCCUUUUGUUCCAUUGUUAUAGUACACAAAAUGCAAAAUUUUGUUCUGAAUUCAUUAACCUUCUUGAGAAGUCGUAGGCUAGUAAAAAAGUUAGGGUAUUCUGGACCGCCCAAGAAAUGUUCCCGGGGUACACUUUAAUCAAGUAAAGUGGUGAUUUCUUGCAGGAAUGGACGCUAUGGACCUGGAGAAAGGGCUCGAAAAGGACGUAUCGCAGUUGGGAAUCCUUUGUCACCAUUGUUCGACAACCGACUUAACGUGUCCUAAAACUCAAAAGG
rnacentral:sRNA from 1 species